AGCUCUGUGCAGGGGCAGUAUAAUAGCCAAUGAGGUCAAACUGAGGCGUGAUUAUUGCUAAUUGUGAUGAGCUGAGCUGAUGAAGCAGAGGGCUGUGUCUCAUUAGGAGGAGCUGCUGCUUAUUUUUGACGGGGGCUUCGCACAUGCUCCUUCUGCCC
rnacentral:snRNA from 1 species